AGGACCCCGAACCACAUGGUGGGAGAUCAGUGGGGGCAAACACCCAGGAUGGGAAACCUACUGGGAAGAGGCCAAAGCUUGCUCUAUUCUCUCAAUACUGGCGAAGGGCUCCUUGCGUUGGUUGUCCCAUCCCUUGGGUGGUGACCCUGUGAUGCUGUCCCUGAUGCCACCUCUGAACCAUGUGGGAGGUGACCGCCGCGGGAGGAGAAUUUAAACGUCAGUGUUCAUAUUUUGUGACAGCUUUUAAGACAGUUUUGCAUAAAGCAUCCUCCGGAUGAAUAUUUUAAAUGGACUUCAGCGAGAUGCUAAUGGGUUUUCACAGUUGAUGAAAUUAAGCCCGCGUUCCCUCAAACCUUGCGGAGCUGCCUUUGAAGGGCUUGUGGUUAUUUCACCUUGCUGCUUUCCUGUAAUUCCCCCUCUGGCUGAUGCAGUGAGACAUCUGCUGUCCUCCUUGCCAAGAUGGCCAAGCCAGGAGGUUCCGUAAAGAGGAGGAUUCAAGAAAUACAAAGAGCUGCAGGUGGGGCUGUGUUGGGCACUGCAAGGCAUGGCCUACCCACCUCUGCAAAACAACCUGGUGGAAAAGGGUUUGUACUCUACCCAAGUGUGAGAUUUCCGUGGUUUGGAGACCAGCCCAACAGUUUAGGAAAUGACGAUGAGUGAGGUGCUGGCCUUAUGUUCCAGUUUAAGUGGGAAAAAAUGGGUUUUGUGUGUCUGCCCCUCAUCCGUCAUGAGCUGCCCAAAGACCCUGGGCAGCCUGAUGGAGUGGUUGGCAAUCCUGCCCGUGGCAGGGAUCUGGAACUGAGCAAUCUUUAAGGUUCCCUCCAACCUCAGCCAUCCUAUGAUUCUGUCAUUCUACGAUGUGUGCUCCCUAUGGAUGACAAGUCCCCACUGUGCCAGAUGGGGACCCUAUAAGGCAGCCCAAUGGCUGUGUCUGCCCAUAGCUUGCUUUUGGGGUGCCUACCCAGCUGUAUCUGUGCUCUCCUGCUGCGUCACUCACAGCAUUCAAAGUCACCCAGCAGAUGCUCCAGUUCUGGGCUCUUUCUUGUCAGGAAUCUUUUAGGACAGCCUGGACAAAAUAUAUCUGGCUGUUUUUGAGCUUUGGGGGAAGUAGACAUAAAUAAUGCUGAAACUGCUUUUUUCUUUUUUUUUUUCCCUGAAAUAUCCUAUAGGGGUUGUAUGUGGACAGGACGUAAUGGGAAAGUGCUUAUAACCUUGUGUGCAUUUGGCUGUGCUUUUCUGGGUGUGCUCAGAGGAUCCGUCCUGUAAGCUGGCAUAUAUUUGAUGAAAAUAGAAAGAUUUAAAUCUUCCUAAAUUGGAAAGGAUUAGACAAAAUUUCUGGAAGCCUUCUUUGCUUCAUAGAUGAUGGGGAGAUGCCCGUGCUGUGCCUGAAACUUCAGAAGGCAUCGCUUUCGUUACGCCAGUGCAAACUUUCCCACUCAAAGCCAUUUGCUACAAGGCUUGGAUUACCCACCGCUAUCUCUCCUUGGGGGACAGUGUGGACCAGAAAGGGGACUGCCAUCCUGCCAUGGGGUUUGGGCACUGCCUGAUGGGCUGAGAGCUGCCUUUGGAGUCAGACUGCCAUCUGACAAGGGUUUUCUUCCUUUGCAAUGUGAAUAUUUGGAGAUGUCCCAAGAAAUCUCCCCGUACCCAGCCAGUUUUUCAUGCAGAGAAACAUGGGAGUGAUGGGAAGUAGGAGCUCAGAGGUGUGGGGCAGGUCCCUGCCACAGCACCAGGAUGCUUUGGGCUCUUCACACCUUUCUUCUUCAGCACUCAUGGGUCCAAGGCUGGCUCUCAGGUGACCAUUCUGCACACAGCAUCUCUUCUGAUAUGCCUGUUUUGAAGCCUCUCCCUCUUCACUUCUUCACCCCGCAAAUGGUUUGGGGAUGGGAAGCAAAGGAAAAAAAUCAUGGAGAUGGAUGGGGAUGUGGGUUUCUCUUGUUGUCAUCCGUGUAUCUCCCAUGAAGCUCAGCAGGGAAGACCCACCCCAAAAGAAAGGAGCAAUCCUGGUCUCCUCAGGAUCCAAAAUGGUUAAAACCUUUUGAUACUGCAAUGCAUCCCCAGCUAGGAGUGCUGGCAGUGGGGAAGAAGGAGUUGAGAGGAGAGAUUGCCUGUGCUCCUGAGCUCCACACCAGUGAUGAAACAAGAGAAUGUUCAGAGCUGCCCACCUGACAAUUCUGUAAAUGCUGGAUGAGCCUUCCAACCUGCUGCAGGCUCCGUUGUGCUGGGGAUGGGCUCUUCCAGCACGCCACCAGCAAGGGGAAAGCCUUCCUCGUUGGUAAAGCUGAGAGUAACUCUAAGUUAUUCUGAAGUAAGGUGACAAGCCGCUUUAAGCAACAUGAGAUAUUUAAUCCUGGCAGCUUGAGAUUAGGCAGACUUGGAGCUGAACCGCAGUGGAGCGUCACUUAAGGAGAGGAGCAUCUCUUAUGGGAUGUGGGAGCAGCUGACCAAACCAAAAACUCCAAGCCCUGCCUUGCUAAUCCUGUGCUUGCAAGAGACAGGGUUGCACUGAAUGUCCUCUGCUGCUUCAUUUUCUGUACUAUAUAUACUGCGAGUCCUCAGCGUGAGCAUCACACCUCC
ensembl:lncRNA